AAUUUACUCCCUCCGUUCCUAAAUACUUGUCUUUCUAGGCAUUUCAACAAGUGACUACAUACGGAGCAAAAUGAGUGAAUCUACACUCUAAAAUAUGUCUACAUACAUCCGUAUGUAGUAGUCAUUUGAAAUUUUAGAAAGACAAAUAUUUAGGAACGGAGGGAGUAGUUG
rfam:Triticum urartu cultivar G1812 contig1240977, whole genome shotgun sequence.